rnacentral:rRNA from 1 species
AUUGAACGCUGGCGGCAUGCUUUACACAUGCAAGUCGAACGGUAACAGGCCUUCGGGUGCUGACGAGUGGCGCACGGGUGAGUAAUGCAUCGGAACGUGCCCAGAGGUGGGGGAUAACGCAGCGAAAGCUGUGCUAAUACCGCAUGUGAUCUGAGGAUGAAAGCGGGGGACCAGGCAGCAAUGUUUGGCCUCGCGCCUUUGGAGCGGCCGAUGUCAGAUUAGGUAGUUGGUGGGGUAAAGGCCUACCAAGCCGACGAUCUGUAGCUGGUCUGAGAGGACGACCAGCCACACUGGGACUGAGACACGGCCCAGACUCCUACGGGGGGCAGCAGUGGGGAAUUUUGGACAAUGGGCGCAAGCCUGAUCCAGCAAUGCCGCGUGCGGGAAGAAGGCCUUCGGGUUGUAAAACGCUUUUGUACGGAACGAAAAGGCUCUGGCUAAUACCUGGGGCUGAUGACGGUACCGUAAGAAUAAGCACCGGCUAACUACGUG